UACGGGGGAUGCAAGCGUUAUCCGGAUUUAUUGGGCGUAAAGCGUUCGUAGAUGGUUAUUUAAGUUUAAUGUUAAAUUCCAAGGCUUAACCUUGACAAUGCAUUAAAAACUAAAUGACUUUAGUGCAAUAGAGGUAAAGGGAAUUUCCAGUGUAGCGGUGAAAUGCGUAGAUAUUGGAAAGAACACCUAUGGCGAAAGCACUUUACUGGGUUGUUACUGAAAUUGAGGAACGAAAGCUAGGGGAGCAAACGGG
rnacentral:rRNA from 1 species